GGGUUGCAAGCUUAGAUGGCGAAGCAGGGGACUUUUAAUCCUCAGAACAGGGUUCGAUUCCCUGGCAACCCACCA
rnacentral:tRNA from 1 species